GCUUAAUUUGACUCAACACGGGGAAACUUACCAGGUCCAGACAUAGUAAGGAUUGACAGACUGAGAGCUCUUUCUUUUUUUUGAUCAAAUGUUAGAAGUAUAUAGAUCAAAAAGUUCAGACUAGC
rfam:Populus trichocarpa scaffold_9_contig_37, whole genome shotgun sequence.